UGUUAAAAAUUUUAUCCAUUUAUAUAGUUAAAACCUGGCAUAGUUGAUGGAAUAACCAAAAAGUGACAUGUGAUGUGCCACGUGUACCUCAAACCGACGUACAAGAACUAAUUUUUAAUAGUAGAAAUAAAUAUAAAUUUGAUA
rfam:Gossypium arboreum cultivar AKA8401 contig_9867_1, whole genome shotgun sequence.